CUCCUGCACGUGGACGCAGACGAUUUAUAUUUCGGAAACUUCUGAUAUUUCGUGAUCAUUUUUGUCCUCUAAGAAAGUUUUUGUCAGGUGGAAAUCUGCCGUUUCCAACGGUUUUCGGCGAGCUGAUCCCACAUGGGUUUUUCUCGUUGAUGGAUGAAAUUGCAUUCAUCUCCUGGAAAACGUUGAAUUGGCUUAGUAAACAGUUCAGGAACAUUGCAUUUAUUGGUGAUGCCCAGUGUUGCCUAAAAGCACAGUUGUGGAGGAAGCUUUGCCUAGAGGAAGGUGGUUCCCAGCCUGGAGAGCAACAAAGCCAAGAAGGGAUCACUCAACUGAAAAUACCAGUAUUUCCAGCCUAAUAGCAAGAUCAGAGGGCAUGGUCCCCACGAAGGCUGUCCAAGGGAGAUUCAGCAACCUACUUGAUCAG